CUACGGGCCGCUCCAGUGAGGAAUUUUGCGCAAUGGGGGAAACCCUGACGCAGCAACGCCGCGUGAGUGAAGAAGGCUUUCGGGUCGUAAAGCUCUGUCAGAUAGGAAAAAAGUUCAUAUGUAAAUAGCUUAUGAAUCUGAUGGUACUAUCAGAGGAAGCACCGGCUAACUCCGUGCCAGCAGCCGCGGUAAUACGGAGGGUGCAAGCGUUGUUCGGAAUUACUGGGCGUAAAGGGCGUGUAGGCGGUAUGGUAAGUCAGAUGUGAAAGCCCUGGGCUUAACUCAGGAAGUGCAUUUGAUACUGCCAUCCUCGAGUAUGGGAGAGGAGAGUAGAAUUCCCAGUGUAGAGGUGAAAUUCGUAGAUAUUGGGAGGAAUACCCGUGGCGAAGGCGACUCUCUGGACCAAUACUGACGCUGAGACGCGAAAGCGUGGGGAGCAAACAGGAUUAGAUACCCCUGUAGUC
rnacentral:rRNA from 1 species